rnacentral:rRNA from 1 species
AGUGAACGCUGGCGGUAGGCCUAACACAUGCAAGUCGAACGGCAGCACAGUAAGAGCUUGCUCUUACGGGUGGCGAGUGGCGGACGGGUGAGGAAUACAUCGGAAUCUACUUUUUCGUGGGGGAUAACGUAGGGAAACUUACGCUAAUACCGCAUACGACCUACGGGUGAAAGCAGGGGAUCUUCGGACCUUGCGCGAUUGAAUGAGCCGAUGUCGGAUUAGCUAGUUGGCGGGGUACAGGCCCACCAAGGCGACGAUCCGUAGCUGGUCUGAGAGGAUGAUCAGCCACACUGGAACUGAGACACGGUCCAGACUCCUACGGGAGGCAGCAGUGGGGAAUAUUGGACAAUGGGCGCAAGCCUGAUCCAGCCAUACCGUGUGGGUGAAGAAGGCCUUCGGGUUGUAAAGCCCUUUUGUUGGGAAAGAAAAGCAGCAGGUUAAUACCCCGCUGUUCUGACGGUACCCAAAGAAUAAGCACCGGCUAACUUCGUG